rnacentral:rRNA from 1 species
GAGUUUGAUCCUGGCUCAGGAUGAACGCUGGCGGCGUGCCUAAUACAUGCAAGUCGAGCGAACGGACGAGAAGCUUGCUUCUCUGAUGUUAGCGGCGGACGGGUGAGUAACACGUGGAUAACCUACCUAUAAGACUGGGAUAACUUCGGGAAACCGGAGCUAAUACCGGAUAAUAUUUUGAACCGCAUGGUUCAAAAGUAAAAGACGGUCUUGCUGUCACUUAUAGAUGGAUCCGCGCUGCAUUAGCUGGUUGGUAAGGUAACGGCUUACCAAGGCAACGAUGCAUAGCCGACCUGAGAGGGUGAUCGGCCACACUGGAACUGAGACACGGUCCAGACUCCUACGGGAGGCAGCAGUAGGGAAUCUUCCGCAAUGGGCGAAAGCCUGACGGAGCAACGCCGCGUGAGUGAUGAAGGUCUUCGGAUCGUAAAACUCUGUUAUUAGGGAAGAACAUAUGUGUAAGUAACUGUGCACAUCUUGACGGUACCUAAUCAGAAAGCCACGGCUAACUACGUGCCG